ACACACCACAGUUUUGCACAGUUUAUGUCCAAUGUUUAACUUUCCAUCUUAUUUAGAAAAAAAAUAUAAUGAGUAUUUUUUUAUUGUUAUUAGAUGAUAUAACAUGAAUAAUACUUUAUGUGUGACCGAUUUUUUUUUAAAUUUUUUACAAUUUUUGAAAUAAGACGGACAAUCAAACAUUAAACACGGAAACUCACAAUUGCACUUAAA
rfam:Oryza sativa Japonica Group DNA, chromosome 6, cultivar: Nipponbare, complete sequence.